UACCUGGUUGAUCCUGCCAGUAGUCAUU
rnacentral:rRNA from 1 species